UUUGGACAUUGUUUUGUUUGUCCAUAUAUCUGUCCCAUAUGUCGUCUGCUCUCGUUUUCGUCGUAAAAAUUAUAAAAUGUGGUCGUGCAGUGCCAAUUUUGGUCUUCUCUCGAAUCGUUUAAUCCACACCAAUGCGACCAAUGUUUAGCAGAUUUGAGACCUGUGCCUGCCAUCAUAAUCACAAGAUAUGCAAGUUUUGCUUGUGUUGGACCUGUUGAAAGCAACAAUCUCAGUGUCAUCGCUUGGGUAAACAGCAUCAAGUUUGAUUGGUGACAUUCCCCUUUCUUUAUAUCCUCUCUAUUCUCAUGUACACACCCCACAUAAGUGUGGGUGUAUUCACAAGUCUGAGGGCUUUUUUCUAUCCCACCUGGAGCUGCCUGGAGGAUUCAACUUUUCUACAGAUGGGGCACUUGUGGAUGCCUGAAUGUGUUUCCCAGGCU